GACGGAGGGUGCAAGCGUUGUUCGGAUUGACUGGGCGUAAAGGGCGUGUAGGCGGUUUGUCAAGUCGGGUGUGAAAGCCUGGGGCUCAGCCUCAGAAGUGCAUCCGAAACUAGCGAGCUAGAGCGCGAUAGAGGAGGGUGGAAUUCCUGGUGUAGCGGUGAAAUGCGUAGAUAUCAGGAGGAACACCGGCGGCGAAGGCGGUUCUCUGGGCCUUACCUGACGCUGAGGAGCGAAAGCGUGGGGAGCGAACAGG
rnacentral:rRNA from 1 species